UGCUCGCUAGCUUCAUCACCACAUCGCACUGGCUCCUCCUUUCUGGAAUCCUCUCCUAGCUUCACCUCCAAAUCGUUAGGGCUCCUUCUUUCUUCCUAGCUUCCUUCCUUCACCAAACAGCACUGGCUCCCGGACUUCGCCUUCCUUCCUAUCUUCACCACGAACUGCAGCUCGCUCCUCAGUCCUAGCUUCACCGACACUGGCUCCUGGAAUCCUGUCUGCCGCUCCUGUCUUCCUAGAUUCACUGAAUCCACUUCUGCGUAGUACCUGGGUCUGCUGCCAAUUAACGCUAGUCCUCAGGAUUUAAAAAACCAUCUUAGCUCAAAGUCCAAUGGGAGAAUGUUAAGUUGGUAGUUAUUCUUGAUCUUGCAUUACUUCAGUUAUGAAAGUUCUUUAAAUUCUCCAAGAACACUAAAAGCUACCAUAUUUAAAGACCCUCACAUUUUUAACUCCAGAAAUAUUCUACUUAAGUAACUUAAGUCUUUUUGGUAGCAAACGCUGUUAAUCUGAUUUUUAUCUUUCCCUUCUAGCUCCUGGGCUAAGCUGGGUCUCGGUCUACAGUAAUUUUAUCACCCUCAAAUCUAGCUUCUGCACCAGAAAUUAAAUUCAUGGGCUUUUGGAAAGAUUCCAUAACUACUUAAAAAUUCUUAGUUUUCCUGUUUUUACUUUUUCCAAUUUUUUGGCUUUAAACUUCUCUUUUUUUUGACGUCUAUCUUAUGUGCCUAUAUUCAGCGGUUGUCCUAGCUUUUCAUUUUCUACCUGAUGUACUUUCCCUGACCUUAUUUUCCACCUCGUUUCCAAUUUCUGGCUUUCUCAAUUUGUAUCUGAGACCUUGUUGCCUUGUUCUUCUCUAAAUAUUUUUUUCUUCUGCUUCCUGCCUUCGAGGUUUAAAUUAUUUUUGUCUUCUAAAAGGCGUGUAAUUUUUCUUCCAAUUUUCCUAUCUUCUCUAAGUCUUUUCUUCACCUUUACUUCUGGUCUUUUAAAUCUUCACCUUCCUGUACUUCGGUCUUGCGAGUUCUCCACUUCAAACACCUUCAAGUUAAGCUUUUUAAAAGACAAACUUUUUAAAUCUUUACCAUCUACAACCGGUCUAAAACAUUUAGGCUCUACUUAGGUCAUUUACAUUUCAACGACAACCUGAAAGGCUGCCCUCAGAUUUAAAGGAUUUAUUGAAUCCCGGACUUUGC
rnacentral:lncRNA from 1 species